UUCUGUUCUAGGCUGUGACACUGAACUUCAGAUUCUCCCGAUUCCCACUCUGCUGGCCUAACCCACAAGGAUGGUGCUUCCCGAUCACAGAUUGAUUUGAAUGAGGCACGUUGAAAUUGCAGAGACCAAAGCCACAAAUCUCUGGGCAAAAUUCUACCUUUGGAGAGGCAGCAGAGGAAGGCCUGUUCCCCAAGGAACCCGCACUCUGAGGACUGAUGUGGGACUCCAGUGAUGUUUGGCCCCUUUACUGUCCUUACGGAGGGGGUGAAGUUCAUGCAAAGAGACAAAUGUGUUCAGUGAGCGGAGGCCAGUUCCACGGGGGAUAUUGUAGGAGAGGAAGCCAGGCAGCGACCACUUGCAGGGCUGGCACACUAGUAAGUAGCCAUGUCUGCAGCUGUGAGACUGUUUAUCUUUAGCUUGCCAGGGGCACCAUUGGUGGAGGGGGUAACCCGCCCUUUGAACUCAUCCCUGAUGUAGGUUGUAUCCUGUCCUGAGGGCUGCUAGCCAGACGAGACUUUUCCCAGGGGCUUGUCGGAUCCAGCUCAAAUGGUGGUCAUUGAUAUUAUUCCCAGAGGUGACACAGUCCAGGGUGAGGGAACUGCCUGGCUCUGCCUGGGCAGAACUCAGCUGGGUUAAAAUGGCCACGGCCACGAAGCCUGUAAAAGAAACAGAACAGGGAUACUGUUACUUCACAUACAACCAGGGGUUUAAUCUAACCUGUAAAGUGAUAAGAGGGAAGCUUAAUAUGAGCUGGCACCUGGCCACCUGACUGAGGGGCACCAGUAGGGAAGCUGAACCCUUUCAAGUGGGGGGAAACUGUUGGGUGUAGGGGUCUUUUGUUCUCUCCGACAGAAGCAGCUCGGGCAGCAACAUGCUGUAAGGUCUGGGCCCGGUAUAAAAAUCAUCAGCAUCAUACCUAAAAACUCCUCAUUUGGAACCCCAGAUAUGUAAGUAGACCAGGAAUGUCUAGUUAGACGCAAUUAGAUUGAAUUCUUCAUUUUGGACUUGUGGAUUCCUCCGUGCUAACCCCAGGUGCUUUUGUUUUGUUUUUAUUUUCUUGUAACCUUUAAGCUGGACCCAAAGAAAGUCAUUUUUGGUGUUUAAUCCCUAACAGCCUGAGUUGUCAGAGUUGUUUUCUUUCUUUUUUCAAUAAAAUGUACCCUUUUUAAGAACACGAUUAGAUUUCUGUGUCUUAGGAGGUAAGGAGGAUGUGCAUAUGUUAAUCAGGUGAUACAACAGCUGAGCUUCCCUUUUCUAUUGUUUUCUUUCUGGGCUGCCCCGAGGGAGGGGUGGAAAAGCUGAAGGGCCUCAGAAAAAAUCUUUCCAAGAGAGGUUUUUCUGGAUUGGCAAAAGGCAGUUUUCACUUGGGUGGUGGCAGCAUUACCAGCCUGGAGUGGCCAGUAUUGACUUUUGGAGUCCUUGCAGACCCCCACCUUCUGCAGUGGAAGUGCCAGAGUGGGGAAUCAGCCUUGACACCCUCAAAUACUCAACCCUGAAGACUGAUGCAAAGAAUAGUUUCUCCACAAUGGCCUUAUCAUCCUUGAGUGCUCCUUUAGCAUCUCGAUUGUUCAGUGGCCACACUGGUUGUUUAGCCGGCUUCCUGCUUCUGAUGUACUUAACACUUUUUAGUUAUUACUUUUUGAGUCUUUGGCUAGCUCUUCUUCAAUUUUUUUUUUUUUUGGCCUUCCUAAUUAUAUUUUUACACUUCACUUGACAGAACUUAGGCCCUGCUCACACUGAGCACACCAGGUCUUUCCUCCCCCUGAUGGAGCUGACUUUGCCCCACUGGGUCUGGGUCGCGGGGGUGGCAGGUUUGUGUCCGACCUCACACCAGCUUCCCCACACAGUGGCUCUCUAGCAGCGCAGUGAUACCGGGCGAUGUCCUCUCGUUUCACGCUGCUCAUUGCCAGGUACAGCUCGCUCUUGGCUUUGUCUCUGGACAGGGUGAAAGGCCCUUUCACCGAAUCCAUGUAACAUUGGACAGAGCCAAGGUGUAAAUAAGUGAGACAAACUCCGGGCUUUUUCCUGGAUCUGCUGGUACCAGUACGUUUUAUAGCUGCUGAAGGUGAAGCCUGAUCCUUUAUAGGAGAGCAGGAUGAACUCCCCUUCAUUUCUAACAGCACCCCCAGACUCCACCAGCUGCAUCUGCGACUGGACACCUGCUGGAGAAAACACUGUAGCACAAUGACCAUUACUAAUACCUAUUGUCUCUCACUAGAGUGAUAAGGGGCCUCUAAGCAACACACAUAGACAGAAAAACAAAUUGCUAGAUAAUACAGUAGAGAAAAUCAUAGAUGGGGA